GGGACCCUUGGCAGAGCCAUAUACACCGUUGGAUUCUGGAUUCGCGAGACCGGUCAGGCCCUUGAUCGCCUUGGUUGCCGCCUCCAAGGCAACUACUACUUCCAAGAGCAACUGUCUAGACAUCGAACUCUUAUGAACAUAUUUGAUAAAGCCCCUGUGGUUGAUAAGGAUGCAUUUGUGGCCCCUAGUGCCUCUAUCAUUGGGGAUGUUCAAGU
rnacentral:misc_RNA from 1 species